rnacentral:rRNA from 1 species
GUAGGCGGUUUUUUAAGUCUGAUGUGAAAGCCCACGGCUCAACCGUGGAGGGUCAUUGGAAACUGGAAAACUUGAGUGCAGAAGAGGAAAGUGGAAUUCCAUGUGUAGCGGUGAAAUGCGCAGAGAUAUGGAGGAACACCAGUGGCGAAGGCGACUUUCUGGUCUGUAACUGACGUUGAUGUGCGAAAGCGUGGGGAUCAAACAGGAUUAGAUACCCUGGUAGUCCACGCCGUAAACGAUGAGUGUUAAGUGU